ACUAAGCGUACACGGUGGAUGCCCUGGCAGUCAGAGGCGAUGAAGGACGUGCUAAUCUGCGAUAAGCGUCGGUAAGGUGAUAUGAACCGUUAUAACCGGCGAUUUCCGAAUGGGGAAACCCAGUGUGAUUCGUCACACUAUCAUUAACUGAAUCCAUAGGUUAAUGAGGCGAACCGGGGGAACUGAAACAUCUAAGUACCCCGAGGAAAAGAAAUCAACCGAGAUUCCCCCAGUAGCGGCGAGCGAACGGGGAGCAGCCCAGAGCCUGAAUCAGUGUGUGUGUUAGUGGAAGCGUCUGGAAAGGCGCGCGAUACAGGGUGACAGCCCCGUACACAAAAAUGCACAUACUGUGAGCUCGAUGAGUAGGGCGGGACACGUGGUAUCCUGUCUGAAUAUGGGGGGACCAUCCUCCAAGGCUAAAUACUCCUGACUGACCGAUAGUGAACCAGUACCGUGAGGGAAAGGCGAAAAGAACCCCGGCGAGGGGAGUGAAAAAGAACCUGAAACCGUGUACGUACAAGCAGUGGGAGCACGCUUAGGCGUGUGACUGCGUACCUUUUGUAUAAUGGGUCAGCGACUUAUAUUCUGUAGCAAGGUUAACCGAAUAGGGGAGCCGAAGGGAAACCGAGUCUUAACUGGGCGUUAAGUUGCAGGGUAUAGACCCGAAACCCGGUGAUCUAGCCAUGGGCAGGUUGAAGGUUGGGUAACACUAACUGGAGGACCGAACCGACUAAUGUUGAAAAAUUAGCGGAUGACUUGUGGCUGGGGGUGAAAGGCCAAUCAAACCGGGAGAUAGCUGGUUCUCCCCGAAAGCUAUUUAGGUAGCGCCUCGUGAAUUCAUCUCCGGGGGUAGAGCACUGUUUCGGCAAGGGGGUCAUCCCGACUUACCAACCCGAUGCAAACUGCGAAUACCGGAGAAUGUUAUCACGGGAGACACACGGCGGGUGCUAACGUCCGUCGUGAAGAGGGAAACAACCCAGACCGCCAGCUAAGGUCCCAAAGUCAUGGUUAAGUGGGAAACGAUGUGGGAAGGCCCAGACAGCCAGGAUGUUGGCUUAGAAGCAGCCAUCAUUUAAAGAAAGCGUAAUAGCUCACUGGUCGAGUCGGCCUGCGCGGAAGAUGUAACGGGGCUAAACCAUGCACCGAAGCUGCGGCAGCGACGCUGAUGCGUUGUUGGGUAGGGGAGCGUUCUGUAAGCCUGCGAAGGUGUGCUGUGAGGCAUGCUGGAGGUAUCAGAAGUGCGAAUGCUGACAUAAGUAACGAUAAAGCGGGUGAAAAGCCCGCUCGCCGGAAGACCAAGGGUUCCUGUCCAACGUUAAUCGGGGCAGGGUGAGUCGACCCCUAAGGCGAGGCCGAAAGGCGUAGUCGAUGGGAAACAGGUUAAUAUUCCUGUACUUGGUGUUACUGCGAAGGGGGGACGGAGAAGGCUAUGUUGGCCGGGCGACGGUUGUCCCGGUUUAAGCGUGUAGGCUGGUUUUCCAGGCAAAUCCGGAAAAUCAAGGCUGAGGCGUGAUGACGAGGCACUACGGUGCUGAAGCAACAAAUGCCCUGCUUCCAGGAAAAGCCUCUAAGCAUCAGGUAACAUCAAAUCGUACCCCAAACCGACACAGGUGGUCAGGUAGAGAAUACCAAGGCGCUUGAGAGAACUCGGGUGAAGGAACUAGGCAAAAUGGUGCCGUAACUUCGGGAGAAGGCACGCUGAUAUGUAGGUGAAGUCCCUCGCGGAUGGAGCUGAAAUCAGUCGAAGAUACCAGCUGGCUGCAACUGUUUAUUAAAAACACAGCACUGUGCAAACACGAAAGUGGACGUAUACGGUGUGACGCCUGCCCGGUGCCGGAAGGUUAAUUGAUGGGGUUAGCGCAAGCGAAGCUCUUGAUCGAAGCCCCGGUAAACGGCGGCCGUAACUAUAACGGUCCUAAGGUAGCGAAAUUCCUUGUCGGGUAAGUUCCGACCUGCACGAAUGGCGUAAUGAUGGCCAGGCUGUCUCCACCCGAGACUCAGUGAAAUUGAACUCGCUGUGAAGAUGCAGUGUACCCGCGGCAAGACGGAAAGACCCCGUGAACCUUUACUAUAGCUUGACACUGAACAUUGAGCCUUGAUGUGUAGGAUAGGUGGGAGGCUUUGAAGUGUGGACGCCAGUCUGCAUGGAGCCGACCUUGAAAUACCACCCUUUAAUGUUUGAUGUUCUAACGUGGACCCGUAAUCCGGGUUGCGGACAGUGUCUGGUGGGUAGUUUGACUGGGGCGGUCUCCUCCUAAAGAGUAACGGAGGAGCACGAAGGUUGGCUAAUCCUGGUCGGACAUCAGGAGGUUAGUGCAAUGGCAUAAGCCAGCUUGACUGCGAGCGUGACGGCGCGAGCAGGUGCGAAAGCAGGUCAUAGUGAUCCGGUGGUUCUGAAUGGAAGGGCCAUCGCUCAACGGAUAAAAGGUACUCCGGGGAUAACAGGCUGAUACCGCCCAAGAGUUCAUAUCGACGGCGGUGUUUGGCACCUCGAUGUCGGCUCAUCACAUCCUGGGGCUGAAGUAGGUCCCAAGGGUAUGGCUGUUCGCCAUUUAAAGUGGUACGCGAGCUGGGUUUAGAACGUCGUGAGACAGUUCGGUCCCUAUCUGCCGUGGGCGCUGGAGAAUUGAGGGGGGCUGCUCCUAGUACGAGAGGACCGGAGUGGACGCAUCACUGGUGUUCGGGUUGUCAUGCCAAUGGCACUGCCCGGUAGCUAAAUGCGGAAGAGAUAAGUGCUGAAAGCAUCUAAGCACGAAACUUGCCCCGAGAUGAGUUCUCCCUGACUCCUUGAGAGUCCUGAAGGAACGUUGAAGACGACGACGUUGAUAGGCCGGGUGUGUAAGCGCAGCGAUGCGUUGAGCUAACCGGUACUAAUGAACCGUGAGGCUUAACC
rnacentral:rRNA from 1 species